AAAAAAAAAAUAAUAAAAAAAAUUUAAUUAAAAUCUGAAAAUCUCCCUCCAAUACAAGCGCAACCUAACCUAGGAACUUAAAAAAAAAAACUGUUCUCUCCUCCCUCAGCCAAAGUCUCUCACAGCUCUUGCAAACCAUCUCGUGACCGGCGAAGGCACCAGCUCUCUCCUCCUUCUCAGAUGACCGGCGAAGCCACCGGCGAAACCACACUCACACACUCGCACACCCAAAUCCAAGGCGGCAAUUAACUAUACCCACGAGGCCACGACCUUUACCACUCUUUCCCCAAAAAACAACGAGCAACCUCCAAUACUGUCUCCACUUCUCAGUCUCCACUGCGCACUACUCUGGUCAGAAAAUUGCAUACUGGGGAUUAUUGAAUUGCAUAGGAUUGGUUUAGUUUUCUGGGAUGUUGAAGAUAUGCGAUGAAGCCGCUGCUCUUCGUGAGAUGCAUAGGCUAAAGUCGAGAAAGAGAUGGACGAUGUUCAAGAUGAAUGUGCCAACGGAUAUAUUUCUAUAUAAUCAAGCUAGUGCGACCAUGUCUCCUGUCAUACAGGAUCUUUCUGGAGGAGAUGUAUAUGCAGAUUAGUUUCAAGAUGAGCUACAAAGACACCAGCUUCCAUCAUAUAUGGUGAAGGAUAUAAAUGCAAGGUUGGAGAGGAUUGAACCAAAGCCUCGGUCUUCUGAUAGUGUUGUUAGUAGUAAUAGCGUUAAUGAGCCCAAGGUUAAUAAUCAUACUCAUAAUCAUAAUCCUAAGCGAAGCAGUCCCAAAGCCAAGAAUACUUCUCGUGAGGCAUCUCUGUUCGGAGGAGAUGGAGAUGUUACAGAGAAGCCAGUUGAACCUGUGAAAGUUUACUCAAAGAAGGAGCUGAUCAGGGAAUUUGAAAAAAUUGCUUCAACACUUGUACCAGAAAAAGAUUGGUCUCACCGUAUUGCAGCCAUGCAGAGAUUUGAAGCCCUUGUAAUUGGAUGCAGACUCUCUUGAGUUCCCUCCAUCCACCAAUCUCUAACAGUUUUGCAUGGUUAAGGCCAAUAUAUUUUCAGCAUCAAGGCCAUUCAAGGACCCUCAUCAGUGUUGAAGCCAAGCAUCAAAAGAAUGGACUAAAACAACACAACGUACUUGUAAUAGAUCCUGGUCAUGUUUUCACAACUCCAAGGGUGGGGCCCUUUACCAAAGAGGAGUUGGAUCAAGUUCGAGACAAGUGGGUUACUUACUUCAACGAUUGUGAACUACCCUCAGUGUAAUAAAUAGAGCAGGCUUGUAGUUAUCCGUGACUUUUACAUUAUUUUGUUAUUUAUCGAUUUAAUUAAUUACAUUUGAAUUAAUUCGGUAAUAUUAUUGGAAAUUUGAAAUUUAUAUCAUUUUUCAGAAAUGUCAAGAUGAUGUUUGGUGAAA